UGGCUCAGAGAUUAAAGCAUCUGCCUGCAAUGCAGGAGACCCAGGUUCGAUCCCUGG
rnacentral:tRNA from 1 species